GUGAAGCUUCAUUGGGCGCGGACUUUUUUUUUUGCUACGUAUGUCGUGUAGCUAAGUGGCGCUACAUGUUCUUUUAGAACGUCACAGCAGUGUUGCCAACUCCUGGUCCGUUCCAAAUUUAGUUCCAAUUCCCUGGGUAAUUGUUCCCAAACAACACAGCAGGUGUGUUUUACAUUAGUCGGUCUCCGUCUGAAUAAACGUAAACAUCGCCACUGUUUUAGCAGCGUUAGCAUCCGUUGUGUGUUUCGCGUUGUGCGACAUUAAGUCAACAACAGUAUCAUAUCAUUGCUGCCAUUGUGAUGUUGGAACAGAACAAAUAACAUGCUUCUUUUCAUAGUUUUUGCGGGCACAUGUUCAAUGACUACAGACUACAGUAUGAAACGAAGGCUGUGAUAUAUCUCCGAAUUCUUAACUAUAAAGAAAAUUAGCACGGAGUGUGACCACCAAGACACUGAAAGCCCCCCAAGACAUUUGUCAAACCAGAGCUCCCCGCCCGACACAACCCAUCCUAAAGACCUUCCUUAGUACUCAGCACGGAGAAGCUUCACUCACACUUCACUUUGGUUCAGUCCACCAAGCAUGUGGCAGGUUUUCCUCGCAUGGUUCAGGCCAAACUAAUCAACACAUCCUGCAGGGGAUACUGGACCCCUCCCACUGCCAGAGCACAGGAAGCACCUGAGUUCAGCCAAGGCACCAGCAGCCCCCCCUAAGAGACGUCGAGUGGAUUCACAUCAAAUCCACCCACCUUUUCUCCUCCUCCCCCAUCUCCUCACCAUGGCACACAUUGACUUUGGAUUGUAAAAAGAGCAGUGAGCUUUUCCUGUCGCAGCCACUUCUAUCACAUUACAUCCCAUGUAAAAAAAACCCAAACAAACGCCGCUGGAGCUAACUGCUCAGAUGUCUUCAGCUGUCCCCAAAAGAGCCGCUGGGUCUCAGUGAUCCACAUCCAAAUGAAGUCCAAAGGGAUCCUGCCCAGCGAUUAAGAUAACAUUUAUUCCCAAACAGCAGUAAACCUUAACUAUGUCUGCAAAUGUAAUUAAUGCAGGUCUUAAAAAGUGGUGCCUAUCUGUAAAUGCUGCUAAUUUGCCCAUUUUAGUGAAAUCCACAUGGUCUGGAAACAGAAGUUCACAGACAGAAUGGAGAUCUUUGUUGGGAAAACAAGGCAUAUCUUUACUAGGGGACUUCAAAUCCCAUGGUGCAUUGCUAAUCCUGGUGUUAGUAUGAUCAAUGUCUCCCUUGGUCACUGAGGUCAAGAGGUUGCUGACUGGACUUGUUAGAGUUCACUGUUCCCUCUGGAUGAAGAGGCAGGCGAGACAAAACAACCAUUUUCUUUGCCUUUGGAAACAAAAUGAACCCAAAAAAACCUCCCCCCCAAAAAAACAAACUGAGCCUCAGAAACCAGACAAAUCAAUCUUUCACUUUUGGGCACGAGAUCAGAAUUGAUUUUCUGGAUGCACACAAGAGUUUUUUCCAUGUCUAAAAUAGAAGGAUAAACACAGUAUGACAUUAUAUAUUAUUUUUUUUUGCUCUUUUAAAGUAUAAAAAGAAAUUUCUCCAGAUGGAAUAAUUCAGUGCCUGUUCUGUUGUAGCCUCCAGGAUUCAUCUCAAUGCCCACAGAUUAUGAUCUUAUAUAUACAGUAUGAGCUCUAUCUAUCUGUCUAUAGCAGAUAUACAUAUAGGAUCUUGAACCUUCCAAACAUUAUGUCAUACUGACUCUGUCCUCCUCAGAAAUAUUGUGCUUAUUUUUUUUUGCUUCUUUUUAGUUUUUGCACAACAGGUAAAUCUAUAAACGAACACAAGCGUUUCGUCUUUAUCCGCACAUUUGCUCAUUACUGGGCCUCAUGCCUGCCCGAUGCCACAGGUAGCGGUGUGCUCAGUGGAGUGUGUGUCGCUACACCUGUUCUCCCCUCGGGGAGGCGCUGUCGUUGGCCAGCUGGCAGAGCAGGGCAGGGACAUAGGAGUGGACAGAUUGGAAAAGCGGCAGGGUAUCAGGACGAGGAGAAGACGUGGCUGAAGGUGAGAGCAUAAGAUAGGCGGAGUAGGAAAAGUACAGAACGGAGAUCACUAAGUGGGAGAUCGGGUAGUGUACAAGCUGGUGGUGGCUAACCUGACAGGUUUUGUCAGGACGCUGAGGAGGACACAGUAAGGACGAGUGCGGCCGAUGUUGUUGCAACAGAGUACAGCUUGUGUUGCGACGGGUGUUUGAGAGAACGUUUGUUAUGACUUCAUACAACCUACGUUAAAAAGAUUAGGAAUAAAUGUCAAGCAGAAUUAUCUUGGUUUAAAAACGGAAGAGAGGCUCCAGUGGCCUAGAGUGUCGUGUCACCGUAUGAUUAUUAAAGAUGAGCUGAUGAUGUUCAAAGUCUGCAUUGGUCAAAUACUGGCCAGAAUCCAUUUGUUGGACAACAAAAAGUUAUUAAAUAAUUCUCUUUUCUAUUGUAUUUUACAAGGUUUUUUAAUCUUAGUAGUAAUUACAAGGUGUUGUUGCCUGUUUUUAGAAGAUUGUAAGUUCGAUUCCCACAUCAAGAACAAAUACAGCACAGGGAGGAGUUUGGAGAAAAUUCCUUUGUGUGUCUGAGGAAUCCAUAUUAAUGGAUACGUUUGUUCCCGAUUAUAUGUUUAUUAUGUUAAAUAUAUAGUGUUAUUGCAUUCAGAAUCAAUAUUAAAGCCAGCUAAUUGUAUUGAGCUGUCCCUGGUCUUUUACAGCUGCCAACUCUCGCUGUUCUAAUAUAGAGCCUUGUUUUGAGCCUGGAUAUUUGUUUUAAAUUAAAUAAAUAUUUCAUGCUGUCUUCUUUGGUCUCUUUUUAGGGAACGAUUUUAUGUCUCAACACAGUGAAUUCAAGGACACUAACAAACUCAACAUUUAAUGUGUCCUUAUCGUACAGACUAAUACUUUCAGAACUCCUUCCCUUUCAUGAUAUAAAAAAGAGUAAAUUGAAUUUAAAUGAAUUUCUGGUUGUUUUUUUUUUCAGACAAAGCACAUUCACUCAGAGGUGAACAGAUCAGACAUCACCAAAUGAAAGGCAUUGAUUUACCUUCUUGCUUAACCGUGCGUCAGCAGUUGAAGCCUUUAAAUGAAGAGAUCUGACAAUUGCUGUUAUGGAGUUUGACCUUUGGCAUCAGGUUGCACCGCUUGGUCUUCCAGAUGGGCCGGUUUCUGGUAAACGAUCUGUGUGUUUUCUCAAGCUUUCCUCUAAUGUCCUUUAGUGCAGCGUCGUCUUUGCUGAUGAGGCAGCUGUGACUGCUCCUUGAUUACUUGAUUGUGACCGUACUUUAAAGACAUGUUCGUACUUGUAAUUCUCUUAUGUGCAUUAAAAAAAGGAGAAGUUAUAAGGUUUACGAGCAGACAGACUCAGAAACAUUGGCUGUCAAAGACACUACAUCCUUGGUUCUUCAGUAGUUGACCUGUAGACAUGACACGGAGCUAAAUUUCGCCUGUUGGAAGCGUUAUCGUUCCCACAUGUCUGUGUCUCUGUGACCACAUGUUUCCACAAAGGCUAGAUGAUAAUCAUCAGGGCUGCUUCUAUUGGACGAUCCUAUUCUCUGAGCCAGGCUUUGACCCCCGUUGACCUGUUCCUGAACGACACCGUGGUUGGUGCUGUAUUUCAUCAUGAUAACAUAAUAACUCUCAGCCAUGGCUUGUAUGGGAAAUAUUUUUUCUCUGCUUCCGACUUUCACCCCACAUUAUUUCUGGAUUGCUGUCUGCGACUUCAUCUCGCCCACUUUAUAUCUUCUUCGUCUAAUUAGAUGUGUGUUUGUGUGUGUGUGUGUGUGUGUAUUUAAGUGUGUGUCAAUGUGUUAUUGUCCCUCAGCACUACCCGCAGGCUGAAAUGUCAGAUGAAGUGAGUUGUCUCUCUCUCUCUCUCUCUCGCUCGCUCGCUCGUUCACUCUCUCUACAUGCAUUUGUUAGCUAAAAUACUGACAAUUGCAAACAGCCAAGAAGGUUACACACACACACACACACACACACACACACAUAUGCACCCUGCCUAGAGAUGCCUAUAGAGUAAACACACAGUAGUUUUCAAACCCUGGUUGUUUGAUGUAUGUAAUAGGUAUUUUAUUUUAGGGUACACACACUUAGGUAAACACACACUUAGGUAAACACACACACACACAUUUUUUAUCUCAUUAGUUGGCAGUUGCUUCAUAUUCACCACUGCUUCAGCUCAUUCAACUAUAAAUAUAUGGAGCACUUACUUGGCUGAGGCCACACACACACAGUCAC